rnacentral:rRNA from 1 species
AGUCAAGUAAUUAAGUGCAUGUGGUGGAUGCCUUGGCAGUCAGAGGCGAUGAAAGACGUGAUAGCCUGCGAAAAGCUCCGGGGAGGCGGCAAAUAUCCUUUGAUCCGGAGAUGUCUGAAUGGGGGAACCCACCUACUUUAAGGUAGGUAUUGCAACAUGAAUACAUAGUGUUGCAAGGCGAACGAGGGGAAGUGAAACAUCUCAGUACCCUUAGGAAAAGAAAUCAAUUGAGAUUCCCUCAGUAGCGGCGAGCGAACGGGGAUCAGCCCAUUAAGUUAUGUGUGUUUUAGUGGAACGCUCUGGGAAGACGCUUGCAUCUCCCUGAUAUUCCCGUACACGAAAGGGCACACAUAAUGAUGACGAGUAGGGCGAGGCACGUGAAACCUUGUCUGAAUAUGGGGGGACCAUCCUCCAAGGCUAAAUACUCCUGACUGACCGAUAGUGAACCAGUACCGUGAGGGAAAGGCGAAAAGAACCCCUGUGAGGGGAGUGAAAUAGAUCCUGAAACCGCAUGCAUACAAGCAGUGGGAGCACCUUCGUGGUGUGACUGCGUACCUUUUGUAUAAUGGGUCAGCGACUUAUAUUCAGUAGCAAGGUUAACCGUAUAGGGGAGCCGUAGAGAAAUCGAGUCUUAAUAGGGCGUUUAGUUGCUGGGUAUAGACCCGAAACCAGGCGAUCUAUCCAUGAGCAGGUUCAAGGUUGGGUAACACUAACUGGAGGACCGAACCCACUGUCGUUGAAAAGCCAGGGGAUGACUUGUGGAUAGGGGUGAAAGGCUAAUCAAGCCUGGUGAUAGCUGGUUCUCCCCGAAAGCUAUUUAGGUAGCGCCUCGGACGAAUACCAUAGGGGGUAGAGCACUGUUUCGGCUAGGGGGUCAUCCCGACUUACCAAACCGAUGCAAACUCCGAAUACCUAUGAGUACUAUCCGGGAGACAGACUGCGGGUGCUAACGUCCGUAGUCAAGAGGAAAACAAUCCAGACCGCCAGCUAAGGCCCCAAAAUCAUAGUUAAGUGGGAAACGAUGUGGGAAGGCAUAGACAGCUAGGAGGUUGGCUUAGAAGCAGCCACCCUUUAAAGAAAGCGUAAUAGCUCACUAGUCGAGUCGGCCUGCGCGGAAGAUGUAACGGGGCUAAAACUAUGUGCCGAAGCUGCGGAUGUAUACUUUGUAUACGUGGUAGGGGAGCGUUCUGUAAGCCGAUGAAGGUGUGU